CCUAAUCUCAUGGCGUUUUCGCUGCCUCCACCAUCAAUCCUUUGUCUUCCUCGCCUCAUCACCCACCCACAAACAUUAAUCAACCAAUUUUCACCUAUUUUUCAUUUUUUUUAACCCUAUUUUUCACCAUCGAUUCUCUUCACCUCUUUGUCCGUUCACCAUCUCUUCUGUCUUUCACCAUCGAUUCAAGAAAACAAAGGUAAUGGUUCGAACUGCACUCUGUUUUUCUUCUUUCUUUUUCUAUAUUUUUUAUUUAUUUUUUAUAUAUUUUGCUUUUUCUAGAUUUAGGGUUUUUAGAUUAGGUUCUGUUAUCUCAGUUUCCUUUUAAGUUGUUGUUUUUAUGUUUCUAUUUUACUAGUAAUAUGUUUGUUUAUUUUGAGUAGAGUUUGAGAAUUUCAAAAAGUUAUGGUGAAAUUUGAUACUUGAGGAACAGAGCUUAUGCUUCAUUGCAAAGCUGAAGACAAAAACAGAGGUUAGAGUUUUUAUUUGUUUGUUUUGUUUAUGUUAAGGUUUACAUGUCUUUAUAUUUGACUAACUUUUUGAUCUAUCGUUUUAAACCAUGUCUUUAUGUUAAGGUUUCUCUUUUGCAGAAGCAACAACAUCUCCAUGCUUCUCAAGUUCUUGUGCUAGUCUCAACUCUCAAAGCUCAUUUCAUUGUGUUUUUACUACUUGGUGUUUACAUGUUAAAUUAAUUUUAGGUUGAUGUUGUGUUGUAAUUAUUUUGACUUAAUCCUUUAAUUUCUGUAAUUUAUUUCUGUUGGAAAUGUUACAAUUUUUAUUUUUAUUGUUGUGAAGUGUUAAAUUGAAUCUAUACUUACCAAAAUUUUGUAUGUAACUAAGCAUCAGGAGAAGAAUAAACAAG
rnacentral:lncRNA from 1 species